AGAAGUCUUAAUGAGGAAGUGGGUUCCUGAGCCAAUACAUUGGAGUGUUGGUAUUAAUUCACUGAUUUGGUUUAAAUUCUCAUAAUGCAAUCAUUUUACCUCUAAUCUUUCUUGCAUUAUCUCAUAUAUGAGCUUUUGAGGGGGCACCUCACAUCUAAACCACAACAGGUACACUCUUACAUUAUUAGUGGACUGCAAGUUAAUGCAACCACUCUGAAAGGCAGUGUUAAGAUUUCUCAAAAAAACUAGAAAUGGAACCACCAUAUGACCAGCUAUCCUGCUCUUCAGUAUAUUUCCCCCAAAUCUAAAAUCAGCAUACUAUAGGGACGAAGCCUUAUCAGUGUUUAUAGCAACACAAUUCACACUAUUUAAACUAUGAAACAAAUGUAAGUGCCCUUCGAUGGAUUAAUGGAUAAAGAAAAGGUAGUAUAUACACACACAAUGGGGUAUUACUUAGUCAUUAAAAAAAUGAAAUUAUGUCAUUUGCUGGUAAAUGGAUGGAAUUGGAGAAUGCUAAGUGAAAUAAGUCAGACCCAGUAAGUCAAAAGUUGAAGGUCUUCUUUGAUACACAGAAACUAAUCUAAAAUAAGAGGGGGAAAGAGAGUGCAAAAAUAGAUGGGAUUUCAUCAAAAUAAAAGAAAGAUCAGGGGAGUAGAAGAAAGGGAUAACGGGACAAGGGAGGAGAGAAUGAGGUAAGAUUAAAAAUAGUAGAAUUAAUCUGAACUGACUUUCCAAUAUACAUAUAUGAAUAUACUACAGUAAAUCUCUCCAUUAUGUAUAUCCACAAGACAAUUGUUAAAAAAUGUAAAUAAUAAUAAUUAAAAAAACUUUUGCACAGCAAAGGAAAUCAUUAAGAAUGUGAUGAAAGAACCUACAAAAUGAGAGAAAAUCUUUGUCAGUUACUCCUCUGACAGGGUAUUAAUAUCCAGAAUAUAUAAACAACACAAAAACACCAGAAAAACCCAACAACAAAGAACUCAAUCAAUAAAUGGGCAAAGGAACUAAACAGACAUUUCUUAAAAGGGGAAAUAGCAACUUGGAUAGAACUAGCAGUCAUAUUCAUUGAAAUUAAUAAACAUAGAAAGACAAGUAAGUAUAUGUUUUCACACAUUUGUUACAAAUAUUUGAUUUGCCAUAAUAUACCCUAUAAAGAUAUACAAAUACUUGGUCUGAAUAAAAUUUGUUUAAUCUGGAGGGAAAUGUGUUUUGUGAGAUGUCUGAAUGCCACCUUUGCCUUUGUGUUAUUUCUAGUAAUAAGCUGUAAUAAUAUUUAAUGAUAUUAUUUUACUAUUUAAAACUGCAAAUGACAUCAGAAUUUUGUUCCGUAAUACUCUUGUUAGUAAAUAGGAUAUUUCAGUGGUUAGAAUUUACAUUUUCCUGGUUUUAAAGCUAAAAUGUUGAGUGAAAGGAUUGACUUCAUGUUCUAUUCCAUCUCCUUUCAUGUAACUUUAUUUUAAGUUUUAUAUAGAGCCCAGAUUUUUCAUAAGAAUUCAUAUUUUGAGAGUGGAUGGAAAACUCAUUUCUCUCAUACUUUGUUGGUAUUAACUGAUCUUUUUAUAUUGUUCCUUAAUGUUAAAGCCUUAAACUUUUACAAUGAAGUUAGAUUUUCUUUAAUCAUGUACAUGACUAAUGUUUAGAUAUUCUUCUACCCGAAGUUGUAACAGUCUGUGCACACAUAUGGAUCCCCACACACUAGUAUUAUUUUGUUGGUUAGUAUUCAGAUGUUUUUAUAGGUUUUAUUUCAUAAGUAGGAACCACCGAAAUUUUACUGCUCUGCAAAUUUCCUUGUUCCCAUUUUGAUUAUUCUUACUGCAUCCUCAGGCAAUGAGUCACUUGAAAGUUGGAUAUUGGGAAGAGCUUUGGUUCUUGUGUCCCUCAUUUUAAAAUGACCUUUUUCUUUUGUCUUCAUUAUAUAAUUAAAUUAUCUAUCAUAUGCUUUCCAGGUAUAUGGAUCAAUGUUAACACAUUUAAGUACAGAUGUACAUUCAUAUGCUUUACCUCAGAGAACAUAUCCCAUGUACAUAACUAAUCAUUGCAAAGUCGGGUAUUGGCUUGUGUUUACUGAUGUUCUCACAACACAGGUCUGUAGCUCCACUCCAGGCACAGCUCUGCAGUCAAGUGAGAGACUUAUCUGGAUGUUUCUGGAUAUCAAAAGUUUCCUGUGGCAGAAAAAAAAAGAAAUUUUGAGAGAAGCAGUGAUGUAUAGGUUCCCUCAUUUAUAAGUAACUUCUGGAAUCCAAAUGUUAUUUGCCCUGAUAUUGAAAUGAGUUUGGUGUUUAGUGCUACCUGAGACCUUCUCAUCCAUGAACAGUAAAUAACCUCCCAGGAACAUAUAAGUCUCCCUUCUCAUUCUCCUGAGACAUUUGAAGGGCCAAUUUAGAGUAAUAAAGCCUAAGCACCCAGCACAUAUUCAAGAGUAAAUUACUCUUGAAUAAAAUUAAAUUUUGUUCUAUUCCAAAGGACUAUCUGGAAGAUAGCUGUAAUGUUUUUGUUUUGUUUGUUUGUUUUUAAAUAAACUUUAGUUUUCCCUUUAGUAAAGGAAUGUUAAUAUUAUACAAGAUACAUCUGCAGAUUUUUACAUUUUCCUUUCUCACUGAGUAGUGUCAGUUUCUCCCACAUUCUGAUGGUGUCACAGCCUUUUGAGUUGUAAUUGAAAUGAACUGCUUGAGUGACAGACAAUGUUACAGCCUCAGCACUCAUUUGAAUCUGACAUAAAGAAUAAUUGAACCCGGUACUGCAUUGUUCACCCUGCUUCUAGCUACUCAGGAGGCUGAGGCAAGGAAAUCACUUCAUCUUGGGAAUUCAAGACCAGCCCCUAAAACAUAGUGAGAUCCCAUCUCAAAAAAAAAAAAAAAAAAAAGAAGAAGAAGAAUAAUAAGAAAGAAAAACAAUAUCUGAAUAUUCUAUUGCAUAGUCUUGUUUAGAGCUUAUAUUAUGGAAAGUGGAAAAUACCAAAAUUAACCAUUUUUUUCCCUGCUUAGUUAACAGUAGUCUUAAGAAGGAGCACCUCAUGGGUCUUUGGGACUUGUGCCCUUGAAAGUCUCCCACAGCAUCCCCAGAAAUCUCCACAUGCUACCCAAACAUGAAAGUCACUGAGAAGGUCCUUCAUAGUUUAAUCAAUUCUGCCACUGGACAGCCUUCACAUUAAUCUAGUUUCUUCUCUUUAUGCAUGCUUUCAUUCAUAUUUCUUUAAGUUAAGGCCACUUUAUCAGAGGUCAAAAAAACCUAUCCAUCUGUCAUCAAUCUGCAUUUCUACAUCUAUUGAAGACAUUCUCUUCCAACUAAUUAAUGGUCUUUUCCUUUUAGCAUAAGAAUGGGGCAGACUAAAACUUUAAGUGCUUCUUCUGUUCCAAGCCCUACAGUAGAAGCAGAGAGAUUACUGAUGAGUAGGACACAGACAUUGUUCUUGGAAACCCAACCCUCUAGUGGGAGAGUCAAUCAUAUGAGUCAAAUAGGAAACUACCUGGUGGAGGGCUGUAUUGUAGACAUCCACACUAAGAGCCAGAAAUGUGAAGAACAUGGUUGAAAUAGCUUACACUGCCUGAGAAAACUGAAGAAGAAAAAACAUAGUCAUUUCAACUGAAGGUGUUUGCCAGCAAAGAGUGGAUGGGGGUUGGGGUGAGUGGGCAGGAGUAACCUAGAAACUAAAGUCACACAAAUACAUGUUUUAUACUUGAAUAUUUUGUACCUAACAAACAAUGGGAAUGAAAUGAGUCUUAUAAAACACCCUUAAACACUUUUUCCCAGGCUGAUAAUUCUCUUUCAACCAUUGCUAUUUGUCAUAUUUUCCGAAUUUUCAUCAUCUUGGCUACCUUUCUUUGUGUGCAGUGGUUUUUUCUACCCAAAGAAAGGAUCCAGAACCGAAGACUUUUUGCAGGUCUGGUCUCAUUAGUGUGGACCACAGAGACACCAUCACUUCCCAGUUCUGAAUGCCAUAAUUUUAUAAAUGCAACCAAAGUUUCCAUUAAUUUUAUAUUUUAGUCAUUUUGAUCCAGUACAUGUCCUGAUAACCUCAGGUUUUUAUUGUCACUGGAUUUCCUAAAGCAAACCAUUUUAUCCUUAGCCAAAAUAUAAAAGUGAUGUCUGUCAAAAUUAACCUUCCCUUUUGCUAUUAAUCUAUCAGCCUUAUUUCUUUAGUUAUGGCCACUUUAUCAGAGAUCAAAAAAACCUAUCCAUCUGUCAUUAAUCUGCAUUUCUACAUCUAUUGAAGACAUUCUCUUCCAUCUAAUUAAUGGUCUUUUCCUUUUAGCAUAAGAAUGGGGCAGACUAAGAACCCAGUGUUUUUGCCCUCAGUCGCCUUCCCAGUCGCCUUCCCAUAUGCUAACUUACACCAACUACUGUAUCAUACCAUAUUUAUGGGAGAAUGAGCUGGAAGGGUGCAGAAGUGGGGUUGGCAUUUUAUACCCUGAAUGAUUAAAAAUUCUCUGGGGAUUUGUUAAACCAAUUUCACUGCUAAUUAUGUGGAUGUCUCUCUAACACAUGAGUCAGAAUCAGCUUCUCAUUUGACAAAAAAAAAG
rnacentral:lncRNA from 1 species